rnacentral:rRNA from 1 species
AACGCGAAGAACCUUACCAUCCCUUGACAUCCAGAGAAUUUUCUAGAGAUAGAUUAGUGCCUUCGGGAGCUCUGAGACAGGUGCUGCAUGGCUGUCGUCAGCUCGUGUUGUGAAAUGUUGGGUUAAGUCCCGCAACGAGCGCAACCCCUAUCCUUAUUUGCCAGCGAGUAGUGUCGGGAACUCUAAGGAGACUGCCGGUGAUAAGCCGGAGGAAGGUGAGGAUGACGUCAAGUCAGCAUGCCCCUUACGACCUGGGCCACACACGUGCUACAAUGGCCGGGACAAAGAGAUGCAAUCUCGCGAGAGCAAGCUAACCUCAAAAACCCGGUCUUAGUUCGGAUCGGAGUCUGCAACUCGACUCCGUGAAGUCGGAAUCGCUAGUAAUCGUGGAUCAGAAUGCCACGGUGAAUACGUUCCCGGGUCUUGUACACACCG